rnacentral:rRNA from 1 species
GAUGAACGCUGGCGGCGUGCUUAACACAUGCAAGUCGAACGAUGAAGCCCAGCUUGCUGGGUGGAUUAGUGGCGAACGGGUGAGUAACACGUGAGUAACCUGCCCUUAACUCUGGGAUAAGCCUGGGAAACUGGGUCUAAUACCGGAUAGGAGCGUCCACCGCAUGGUGGGUGUUGGAAAGAUUUAUCGGUUUUGGAUGGACUCGCGGCCUAUCAGCUUGUUGGUGAGGUAAUGGCUGACCAAGGCGACGACGGGUAGCCGGCCUGAGAGGGUGACCGGCCACACUGGGACUGAGACACGGCCCAGACUCCUACGGGAGGCAGCAGUGGGGAAUAUUGCACAAUGGGCGCAAGCCGGAUGCAGCGACGCCGCGUGAGGGAUGACGGCCUUCGGGUUGUAAACCUCUUUCAGUAGGGAAGAAGCGAAAGUGACGGUACCUGCAGAAGAAGCACCGGCUAACUACGUG